UGGCUCAGUUGGUAGAGCAUGUUGUUUGCAAGGCCAGGGUUGUGGGUUCGAUUCCCAC
rfam:Salmo salar isolate Sally breed double haploid chromosome ssa03, whole genome shotgun sequence.